rnacentral:rRNA from 1 species
GACGAACGCUGGCGGCGUGCUUAACACAUGCAAGUCGAACGGAAAGGCCCUGCUUUUGUGGGGUGCUCGAGUGGCGAACGGGUGAGUAACACGUGAGUAACCUGCCCUUGACUUUGGGAUAACUUCAGGAAACUGGGGCGAAUAUCGGAUAGGAGCUUCUGCUGCAUGGGGGGGGUUGGAAAGAUUCGGCGGUUGGGGAUGGACUGGAGGGUUAUCAGCUUGUUGGGGGGGUAGUUGCUUACCAAGGCUUUGACGGGUAGCCGGCCUGGGAGGGUGGCCAGCCACCUUGGGCCUGCGAUACGGCCCAGACUCCUACGGGCGGCAGAAGUGGGGAAUAUUGCGCAAUGGGCGGAAGCCUGAUGCAGCAACCCCGCGUGCGUGAUGACGGCCUUCGGGUUGUAAACCGCUUUCGCCUGUGACGAGGCCUGCGUGACGGUAAUGGGUAAAGAAGCACCGGCUAACUACGUG